rnacentral:lncRNA from 1 species
CGGGCGAUCCGCAUGCCUUAGCGAUAUGAUGACCUACAUCGCAUCUCACGCACGCGAACGGCCUAUAUGCAUUUUAUUUUUAGAUCGAACAUAUGAGAUUGAUCGCAAUUGACGGUUCAGAUUCGUCCAUGCAAUCAACAUAAAUGGUAAAUCAUCGAAUGACCCUCCUUACUCCAUGUAUUCCUGAAUGGAUGACCCAGAUCGACACAGGAUGAGUAUUUAAACAUCGCAUCACAAGAGAACCUAACGCUCUCGCCGGAGAAGAAGAACCAGACGCUAGAUAAGGAGGUUGAUCCUCAACUGCUGUCGUACCAGAGCUACCAUCGACCACCAAAAAACGUUUAAAAAAAAUUUCUCACUCGAAAUUCAAUUGAGCCUCCCUAUGGCUAUAUCGGAGUAAAAAUGAUGGUCGGUGAGCCAAAAAUCACUGGCAAAACCUGGCAGAGCUACCACAGACAAAACCCUAAACCCUCUCCGAUGACCCCCUUUCCAUUUUUCGUUU